GAGGUUCAGGUUAGAACCAAAGGAGUUCAGGAGCAAUUUCUUCAAGGAAAAGGUUGUCAGGACUUGGAAGGGGCUACCCAGGGAGAUUUGGAGUCCCCAUUCCUGGAGGUGUUCAAGGAACAACUAGAUAUGGCACUUAGUAUGAUGGUCGAAUCAUAAGGGAAGUUGGUCAGAGGUUGGACUCAGUCUUGGAGGGACUUUUCAGCCUCAGUGAUUCUGUUAAAUGGGUGUGUGGUGGCCCACUGGGAGGACUGGCAGGAACUGGAAGAUCUAGGAGGACAACUGGGAUGUCUAGUGUUAGAAACUGUGAGGUUUGAUGGGGUCAAAUGAGGGGUGUGGUGGCCCACUAGGAAAACUGGGGUAAACUGGGAGGUCUGUGAGGCAAUGCCCUCAAGAGCCAGAGCCCACCUGGGUCACCAUGGGUUCACUAACACCCCAGUCUGCUUCUCCCAGUGGAUUUCAUGGACAGUUGUAACCCUUGAGUGACCCCCGCUGGGUAUGGGAGGCACAGGGAGCUACUGGGACCAUUUUGGGACCAACUGAAGACACACUGGGAGCAAAUGGAAGAUGAUGGAACCAUGUUGGGGGUACUGGGACCACAACUGGGGCAACUAGGAUCAUACAGGGGACAACUGGAACCAGGCUGGGUUUGUACUGGGAGUGUCUGAAACCACACUGAGGGCAAUUGGUAUCAUACUGGGAGUGACUGGGAUCGUAGUGGGAUCAUUCUAGUAGGGACAGGAAUUAACUGGGACAAUUAGGGGUGUAAAAGAGAUCAUACUGGGAGUCAUCAUGAUCACACUGGACUCACACUGCAAGUGACUGGAAAGCACUAGAGUCAUGGCAGGAGACAGGAAUCAUACUGGGAUCAUUCUGGGAGUGACUGGAACCAUGCAGAUGAUCGGGAGCAACGGGAACCACACUGGGAGUGACUGGGAUCACAGUAGAACGAUGACGGACACUACUACCCUGGGAGCACCGAGGCGCGGGGUGCCGGGGGAGGGGCCAUGCAGAUUUAUGCUAAUGAGCCGGCGGCCUCCGCGGCACCAUCGAGUCGCAGAGUCCGGCGACGCUGAACGGUCACGCUCCCCGAUUGUCGGACGGGCGGAAGUGACGUCACAAGCGGCGCAGCGGGAGGCUUGAACAGCGCGGCGGUGUCUGCGGGUCACGGGCAUGACCUCACGGGCGAGGAGUGGGAGAGGGGUGCUGGAGGGGCCCCGGGAGUGGCGUGGGGGGCCUGGACACCCGGAUCUGCUCUGAUCCAUCUUUCCCCGACCGCCGGAUGCCUGGACUCGCCCUGACCCCGCGGAGGACUCAGCCGGAGCAUGCCCCGCCUGAAGCGGCCAACCCCCAGCCACGGGCAUAGGCACGCAGUGCGGGAGCUCUGCCUACUCUUCACCCGGGGGGUGGAUUACCACUGGCAGCACAUGGCCCUGCUGGCACUGCAGGAGGUACUUAAUUUGGAUGGGUCAUAACAGUGGCUGUUGACAUGGGUAUGUGUAAUAAGGAAAGAACCUCGGUGUCUUUCCAUGUACAGCUUCCGGUAGCAUCUGUAACAUGGCCUUGCCGACCUCCCGACAGGGAAAAGGCAGAAACUGAGUGACAGAAAAAGGAAUAAUAGAGGUCUGGUAUGGCUUGUACCUCCACCUACCAUGCCUAUGGGGUUGCUGCCCACAGCAGGUUUUAUAUUCUUCUCAGUGGCAGAUACAGAGGCCAGUCCAGUCUUACCCUCUGUUUCCUUGUCACUUGCUGUUUUUGACACUCCUUAGCUGUAGAUUGCUACUAUUUCCUCAGCUCAGGUAUUCCCCAGUCAACAGGCAUUAGUAACUCCCAUCCACAAAAUAAAGUUGUUAUUUCAGUGGUACUUAGUUUUUAUCUGGAUAGGAACAAGUAUUCAGAACUUCCUAUAAUGAGACUGUUAAUUGUACGUAUUACAACAUCAGUUUUUCUACAAUUUAGACAGUUACACUUAAUCCAGUGAAUAUGUCCAUUAUUUAGAAUGAGUCAGAAUGUGUGGCAUUGAUGGAAGUUGUUAUUUGGGUUCUCACAAUUCGUUAUAAACUGGUCCUCGCUUAAGAGCCAAUUUGGUGUCACCAGGUUAUAGUUAUAGUCCACUCCUUAGGUUUCUCCACAGGUCCUUUGAUUCUGCUGGCGUGGAUCCACCCGCAUUCCCUGGUCCAGAUAGCAGCUUCAGUUGUCAGCAGUACCUGAAAAGGGCCUUCCCACUGUGGGGUUAAAGAUAACCUUCUCGACCCCAUUUUCUGCUGCAUCUUUAGCUUCUUGAUCUGCCAAGUUAUUUCUCCUUAUUUCUGAAGUAAUUUCCUUCUGAUGUCCCUUGAUAUGUACCACACCUAUUUCCUCAGGCAAUUUUAAUGCCUCUAAAACUUCCAAAAUGAGGCCCUCAUGUAUUACAGUAAUUUCAUGAAUACAAGCCGCACCGUUUUGACCAAAACUUUGCUCCCACACUGGAAAUG